UGGGCAGUAUCCCUCAGGAACUGCACCUUAAAGCGGUUACAUCUAUACGUGAAAACUAAAAUCUGCCUUGAUCCGUUCAGGACUGGGACAGAGGG
rnacentral:ncRNA from 1 species